GACACUAUUGUGUGACAUCACGUUCAAAAUUUAAAGCUUAGCUGCCCCCCCCAACCUCUAUUACUCAAAGAUAUUAGUUUUUUCUUUGUAAAACAUUAGAUAUUCUAGACCACCGAGGAGAAGCCACUUUUCUAAACAACAGGAAUUUAUCCUGAAUCAGGAAGGGUUAAGCUUUUUAUCCUGGCAUCUAUCUGAAUAAACAGUGUGAUUCUGUGGCAUCGGAAUUUUGCAUUCAGAUCAGCGUUCUUAAGAAAGCAAGAUGACCUGAUUUUUAUUUUCCCUUGCUGGGACAGAGUGGUCCUCAGGAAGGUGAGGACACUGACAGAUGAAGCUCCCUGUCCUCAGGUGACAGCAUCCCCGGGCCACGUGGGCCUCCAGCUUCUGUUCCCAUCUGACACAGACAGCUUUACACUGGAUCACAAAAUACUUUGUAUCAUCCAGCAAAAGCCACAGGUAAGUGAGUUCUACUUAUUUAUUUCUUAAAAAAGUCUUGUUAUAAAGAGAAAUCUGCUCUUACACAGAGCCCGUUUCCCAUCAGCUGUGCUGCAAGCAGAAAUCAGUGCCCUCAGUGGGUGAUCUGGAGGCCUGGCGUC
rnacentral:lncRNA from 12 species